UGAACGCUAGCUACAGGCUUAACACAUGCAAGUCGAGGGGCAGCAUUGGAGUAGCAAUACUCAGAUGGCGACCGGCGCACGGGUGAGUAACACGUAUCCAACCUGCCGCUUACUCGGGGAUAGCCUUUCGAAAGAAAGAUUAAUACCCGAUGGUAUAAAGAGUUCGCAUGUUCUCUUUAUUAAAGAAUUUCGGUAAGCGAUGGGGAUGCGUUCCAUUAGAUUGUUGGCGGGGUAACGGCCCACCAAGUCUACGAUGGAUAGGGGUUCUGAGAGGAAGGUCCCCCACAUUGGAACUGAGACACGGUCCAAACUCCUACGGGAGGCAGCAGUGAGGAAUAUUGGUCAAUGGACGAGAGUCUGAACCAGCCAAAGUAGCGUGAAGGAUGACUGCCCUAUGGGUUGUAAACUUCUUUUAUAAGGGAAUAAAGUGAGGGACGUGUCCCCUUUUGUAUGUACCUUAUGAAUAAGGAUCGGCUAACUCCGUGCCAGCCGCCGC
rnacentral:rRNA from 1 species